rnacentral:lncRNA from 1 species
GUGAACUUGUCACCAAUUAGUCCAAGCUAACAUAGUGCCAGGCCGUAGCAUGGGGUCCUGGUCUUCCUGUCAUACAUACAUUACUUACCAUUAUCCCAGGGCCUCCUCUGGGCUCCUGGUCUUCGAGUCCACAAUUGUGCCAGGCCGUAGAAUGGGGUCCUGGUCUUUCAUUUCCGUGCCAGGCCGUAGAAUGGGGUCCUGGUCUUCCUGUCAUGGACUAAUUGGGUCAUCCAACAUUCACCCACAUCAACAACACUUGAUGCAAUGCGGCAUAUUCGUGAAACUAAUGCAAUCACCCUAUUGCAUAAUCAUGAUGCAUGAAACAUGAUAAAACAUUUAAUUUAAAAGAUUA